AAGUACUGUUGUGGAAAAUUCCGAAGCAUUCCCUUGUAAUGCUCCCAACCUUCAUAUAACAACUCCCCAUUGAAUUGUUGAAAAUAAUGAAUAUUUUUCUUUAAUUU